UACGUAGGGGGCAAGCGUUGUCCGGAAUUAUUGGGCGUAAAGAGCGCGUAGGCGGUCCGGUAAGUCAGCUGUGAAAGUCAAGGGCUCAACCCUUGAAAGCCGGCUGAUACUGCCGGACUAGAGUCCGGAAGAGGCGAGUGGAAUUCCCGGUGUAGCGGUGAAAUGCGCAGAUAUCGGGAGGAACACCAAUGGCGAAGGCAGCUCGCUGGGACGUUACUGACGCUGAGACGCGAAAGCGUGGGGAGCAAACAGG
rnacentral:rRNA from 1 species